rnacentral:rRNA from 1 species
AGAGAUAGAGGGGUGCUCGAAAGAGAGCCGUAACACAGGUGCUGCAUGGCUGUCGUCAGCUCGUGUCGUGAGAUGUUGGGUUAAGUCCCGCAACGAGCGCAACCCUUGUCAUUAGUUGCUACAUUCAGUUGGGCACUCUAAUGAGACUGCCGGUGACAAGCCGGAGGAAGGUGGGGAUGACGUCAAGUCCUCAUGGCCCUUAUAGGUGGGGCUACACACGUCAUACAAUGGCUGGUACAAAGGGUUGCCAACCCGCGAGGGGGAGCUAAUCCCACAAAGCCAGUCGUAGUCCGGAUCGUAGUCUGC